GUUCCAGAGUAGAGAUUUGGAACGACUGGGGGUUCCAGAGUAGAGGUUUGGAACGGCUGGAGGUACCAGAGUAGAGGUUUGGAACGGCUGGAGGUUCCAGAGUAGAGGUUUGGAACGGCUGGAGGUCCCAGAGUAGAGGUUUGGAACGGCUGGAGGUUCCAGAGUAGAGGUUUGGAACGGCUGGAGGUUCCAGAGUAGAGGUUUGGAACGGCUGGAGGUUCCAGAGUAGAGGUUUGGAACGGCUGGAGGUUCCAGAGUAGAGGUUUGGAACGGCUGGAGGUUCCAGAGUAGAGGUUUGGAACGGCUGGAGGUUCCAGAGUAGAGGUUUGGGAACGGCUGGAGGUUCCAGAGUAGAGGUUUGGAACGGCUGGAGGUUCCAGAGUAGAGGUUUGGAACGGCUGGAGGUUCCAGAGUAGAGGUUUGGAACGGCUGGAGGUUCCAGAGUAG
rnacentral:lncRNA from 1 species